GCCAACCGACUAACUGACGGGAC
rnacentral:miRNA from 1 species